rnacentral:rRNA from 1 species
CCACUGCUAUCGGGAUAGGACUAAGACAUGCUAGUUGAGCGCUUCCAGCCAAUACGGGAGCGCAGCGCACAGCUCAGUAACACGUGGCUAAUCUGCCCUUGGGACCGGAACACCCCCGGGAAACUGGGGCUAAUUCUCGAUAGGUGAAGAACUCUGGAAUGAGUCUUUGCCAAAAAGACGUUUACGUUAUGCUCGUAGGCGUCGCCCAAGGAUGAGGCCGCGACCGAUCAGGUUGUUGGUGAGGUAAUGGCUCACCAAGCCUUUUACCGGUGCGGGCCGUGAGAGCGGGAGCCCGGAGAUGGGCACUGAGACAAGGGCCCAGGCCCUACGGGGCGCAGCAGUCGCGAAAACUUUGCAAUACACGAAAGUGUGACAGGGCUAUCCCGAGUGCCAUCCGCUGAGGAAGGCUUUUACCCAGUCUAGAACGCUGGGGGAAUAAGGAGAGGGCAAGUCUGGUGUCAGCCGCCGCGGUAAUACCAGCUCUCCGAGUGGUGUGGAUGUUUAUUGGGCCUAAAGCAUCCGUAGCUGGCUGAGUUAGUCCCUUGUUAAAUCCACCGAAUUAAUCGUUGGAUUGCGGGGGAUACUGCUCGGCUAGGGGACGAGAGAGGCAGACGGUAUUUCUGGGGUAGGGGUGAAAUCCUAUAAUCCCAGGAGGACCACCAGUGGCGAAGGCUGUCUGCUAGAACGCGCCCGACGGUGAGGGAUGAAAGCUGGGGGAGCGAACCGGAUUAGAUACCCGGGUAGUCCCAGCUGUAAACGAUGC